AAUGACUCGAGGGAACCUCUGAAACACAAGUCAGAUCACGAUCUCCCCUGUGGGCCUCUCGCUGUUCCUCAACCACAUUCUUGCCUCGUGGCCUUUGUGCCUGCUCUUUUCUCCUGCUGCAACAUCUUCCUGGAAUCUCUGUGUGGCUCUUCUCCCUACCGUCUUCAGGUCAACUCUCUCGUUAUUUAAAGUAACAGUUCCCCCUGCACUACCUACCCCUUUUGCCUUCUUUAAUUUCUUCUUGGCUCUCACUGUUAUCUGACAUACUAUGUACUUUUGUUUAUUGUCUGUCUACUCCAUUAGAAUAAAAAAUUCACAACA